rnacentral:rRNA from 1 species
AUGUCUGCCUCUCUGUUUUCCCAUCCUUCAGCUGCCGUGUAUAUAUGCUUCCUCGCUAACCUUUUUCAAUCCGGCGACAAAACAUCCAUCAACAAUUCAACAUGGUGCUCUGCUAGUGUUGUUCAUACUGGCUUAUGCUCAAUUGAUUCAGGCGGAUCUUGGAGACUGGAUGUCGCAUUUUUUUAUUUCAGGAAUUCUCAGCUCAUAUCUCCAAUGGUUUCUAGAGCAGGUAAUUACUUCAGGUGCACUGCUAGACCUUAUCUUUUACCAUCCAUUUUUUGUAUAGUGUAUGACUGCUUAGAUUACGUGUUUCUAAGUUAG